GCUCUAAGACAGGGGCGCCCGUUGUGAUGGGCUGAGAUCGUACCCUUUGAACCUGACCCGGUUAGUCCCGGCGUAGGAAGUCUUUCGCAGACAAGG
rnacentral:ncRNA from 2 species